CUCCUCUCUCUCUCUCUCUCUCAAAAAUAAAUAAACAUAUUUUAAAAAGUCUUCUGAGCAACUGUUUGUGCCACUCUUCUGAGCUUUGAGAACACAGCAAUGAAUGAAGCAGAAAAAGUGCCCUGUUCUCACAGAACUUCCAUUCCAACUGGAGAAGCACCACAAAACAAAAUAGUCCACACAAGUAUGCCAUAUAAUGAUGAUUAAUGACAUGUCCUAUGGAAAAAAUAAAUACUUUUUAAAAAUAAAAGAGUUAUUCUGAUUUGUUCAGAUACUCUUGACUCUUUGGAGACCAGGAUUCUUCACUGGCCUGGGCAAAUAGCAUUGACGGAAGUGGGCCAGAGGGCCAACCCUCAAAGCCUUGAACCAUUUGGACUCAUUCUGCACUCUUUCCAGCCAGCAUAAAUGAAAAGGCAGUCUGAGCUGCCUACAUUCUUUGGGCAUAAGAGUGAUGUCAGUCCAGAGAGUCUGACCUGGCUAGUUGCUCUUGAUUGGAGCCCAGGCCUUUUCCCCACCCAGUCUGGGGACAGAACUCACUGCUGUGCCAGUAUUUGAAGGUACUGACCCUGCCUACCCCACAUUCAUUGCCUGCUUCUUUCCAACUUCACCAGCUGGUUUCCAGGGACCUGAUCCUGCUGGCUUUUGGCCUGCCCUGAAGCUGCCUGAACACUGGGACUUAAAAAUUAGUUCUAACUGCCUGAGUCCAGCCACCACAUUCCAAUCUAUUUUUAGGACCAAUCCUCCUUCUUUGGCUCCCUGAGAAACCACUCUUCUUUUUCUGUUUCUUAAACUACUUCCAUUCCCAGUUCAGACUGAGGUCUCCUCACCUGGGAAUGCAAAGCUUAGGGUUUCCAGUUCCCGCUCACCAGCCAAGGAGAAGAUGCUGUUUUCACUCAAUUUCUCUAGUCUGAGAAGAGAUGCCCACCUUAUCCCACUUGAACUCCAACAGACACCUUGCACCAGGUUGCCCUACAUGGAGGCACUUUCACCCAGUUUUGCCUCUGACUUCUUGUGCCAUCAUUGCCUCCUGUGGGGACACUCUCCUCAUCCUCCUUUGGCAUUGAAAACCUGGUUUGAGCUGUUGCUUCUGAGGGAUACCCUUGUCACCUGGUGAGCAGAGAAGAGUUAAUAUAGCAGACCUGAGACUGCUCUCCAUAGAAGAGCCUGCUUGAAAGGUUGGCCUGUGGCUAGCGUCUGGUAACUUGGAUUUCAGGAAGGUUUCAGCAUUCCCAUGAGAAGGGUGGCUCACUGUGUCCCAACUGUUUGUAUAAAUAACAUGCUUUAUACUGAACAAACUGCUUUCGUUGUGGGUAUCUGGGAUUCUGGCUAGGCAUAGAGUGCCUAUAUGACCAACUUCCAACAAAAACUUUGGGCCCUGAGUCUCUAAUAGGCUUCCCUGGUAGACAACAUUUCAUACAUGUUGUCACAAUUUGUUGCUGGAGGAAUUAAGCAUGUUCUGUAUGACUCCAUUGGGAGAGAGAACCCUCAGAAGUGUGUGUCUAGUGUCCUCUGGACUUUACCUCAUGUACCUUUCCUUUUGCUGAUUUUGGUUUGUAUCAUUUUGCUGUAAUAAAUCCUAGCCAUGAGUAUGACUA